ensembl:lncRNA
AAGUCGCUAAGUUGUGUCCUAGAAGCUUCAAAAACAGAAAUGCCUAGGACUUCCUGGUCAAUCUGAAAGCCCUAAGCCGCCUGGAAGCAAGAAUGAACCACGGAAGUGUGGCGUUUCCCCAGGAGUGAGUGCUCACCAGGACCAGGUGGUGAGAUGUCAGAGGGAGGAGUUAAUAAAGGGACUUGGAAGCCCAGGGAGGGAUGAGAGACUGGAACGGUCCCUGGACCUGGCUUCUCUUUGAGCUCUAAGAACACAGUUGUAGGUGUGAGAACUAAAGAGAAUGGAGGAGAGGGGAGAAACCAGCUUUUCUGAGCAUCAGCUCAGUGUCUUGCGAGGGCCUUUUAGUCCCAGGAUCAUAACCCACAUUACAAUCCUGCAAAAUCGGAUUUUUCCCCUUUCAUACAUGAGAAAUGUGAGGCUCAGAAAUAAAAAGUCAUUCGCCUGAGGCUACACAGCUAGCAAGUGGUAGAGCCAAUAUUUAAACCCAGUUCUCUCUGGUUCCCAAACCUGUGUUUUGUUUGCCCAUUAUAUCAGCUGCCUCCAGGGAUAGGAGACAACUAGAGAGUAGAAAGUUGCAGAGAAAAGAGGAUUAGAAUGUUUAAGCUCCUGAAACUGGAGUAGUUCUGAGAAAAGACCAAUUCAAGGAUAUGGCCUUGGGUUAGGUUGCUGAAGUGGACUGGAGGUCAAGGUCAAGUUCCUUGGAGUAGAGAAGGUCACCAUGGUGGCUUGUGUUGAAUGGGCUGUUGCAAGUCAAACUAGGAGGUUUGUCCCAGAUUGGUAAACAGGAAAUGGGACUUUCCUGGUGGCUCAGUAGUAAAAAAUCUGCCUGCCAAUGCAAUAGAAGCCAGUUUGAUCCCUGGAUCAGGGAGAUCCCCUUGAGAAGGAAAUGGCAACCCACUCCAGCAUUCUCACCUGGAGAAUCCCACGGACAGAGGAGCCUGGUGGGCUGCAGUCCGUGAGGUCACAAAGAGUUGGACACAACUUGGAGACUAAACAACAACAAGAAGCACAGAAUGAUGUGCACAAAACUGUCACAGCUUGGUGAUAUGGUGGCCAUGGGAAUGUAAGUGAACACUCCUGAGUAAACACAGAAUUCUGAGUUUUUAUCCUUUUCAUGGUUUUCUCUGAAGAGGAACUGUUUCAGUCUCAUGGGACCAUGGGCAUCUUCAUUUACUUCAUGGCAGACGAACGAGGUAGUUUUGAAGAAUUAUUUAAAUUAUUUUUCUGACCAAGACUGGGGGAGCCCUGUUUCCAAGUGUUUGUUAUAUGAGAAUUUUUUCAGUUCAGUCCAGUCACUCAGUCAUGUCCAACUCUUUGCGACCCCGUGGACUGCACCACACCAGGCCUCCCUGUCCAUCACCAACUCCUGGAGCUUGCUGAAACUCAUGUCCAUCGAGUUGGUGAUGCCAUCCAACCAUCUCAUCCUCUGUCGUCCGCUUCUCCUCCUGCCUUCAAUCUUUCCCAGCAUCAGGGUCUUUUCAAAUUAGUCAGUUCUUCACAUCAAUUGGCCAAACUAUUGGAGUUUCAGCUUCAACAUCAGUCCUUCCAAUGAAUAUUCAGGACUGAUUUCCUUUAGGACGGACUGGUUGGAUCUCCUUGCAGUCCAAGGGACUCUCAAGAGUCUUCUCCAACACCACAGUUCAAAAGCAUCAAUUCUUCAGGACUCAGCUUUCUUUAUGGUCCAACCCAACAUCCAUACAUGACUACUGGAAAAACCAUAACUUUGGCUAGACAGGCUUUGUUGGCAAAGUAAUGUCUCUGCUUUUUAAUGUGCUUUCUAGGUUGGUCAUAGCUUUUCUUCUGAGGAGCAAGCAUCUUUUAAUUUCAUGGCUGCCUGCAGUCACCAUCUGCAAUGAUUUGGGAACCCCCAAAAAUAAAGUCUGUCACUGUUUCCAUUGUUUCCCAUCUUUUGCCAUGAAGUGAUGGGACCAGAUGCCAUGAUCUUAGUUUUCUGAAUGUUGAGUUUUAAGCCAGGUUUUCACUCUCCUCUUUCACUUUCAUCAAGAGGCUCUUUAGUUCUUCUUUGCUUUCUGCCAUAAGGGUGGUGUCAUCUGCAUAUCUGAGGUUAUUGAUAUCUCUCCUAGCCAUCUUGAUUCCAGCUUGUGCUUUUUUAAAGGAUGGUAUACUAAUGAAGAUAACUCCACUCUUAAUAGACCGAAACUGAGAGCUUAAUCCUUUGCUACUCAAGUAACAGAGUGAUCAGUAGUUAUGGUUACUGUGUAAGUGUGGGAUUUUAGGCUCUCAUGUUAAAAAUAAUCCACUGUCCCAGGAUCUUCAAUUGCUUUUGAUAAGAUGGAAGUCCCAGAAUGCUUGAUCUUUAUAUUCCCUUAGCACAGAUAUCAACAGUUAACUUUCUUGGUCUUUCAAAUAAACCAGCAAUAACCUGGAGUUUACCAUCAGGACAAUUAGAUGUAAAAAACAAAAACAAAAAACUUUCAAUCAUUAGUUAGAUGGUUUUCUUUUAAAAUUAGUCUCUGUAAAAGGGACAGUGUGAGCCCUGGUCAAAAUCGAACACAUGAUAAAAUGUUAUGCUUGGCGUGUGUAAUAGACCCAGAUUUCUGAAGUUAGAACUACCAAAAAUGCAUAAAGGCACUUUUCACCCAUUAAGGAACAUAAAUGGUAACUAAAUAACUGAAUAUUUGCAGCUACAUCAUGUAACCUUUUAAUAUAGAUCUGCAAAUAGCUAUACAUUUUUCUGCAGGUACAAGGGUACCAGAUAACCAGAAAAGAAAGCCUAACUAAGUUUAUAUUUUCUAAGAGAAGCCUUGCUAAAAACAAAAGGAUUGUUUUUAAACUAUUUUUAAGAUAUUGCUUGAUCAGCUACCAUUCUAUAUAAAUAGGGCAAUAUAACUGACAAUGUUGUUUAGGAUGCUUUGAGAGGCAAAUAAUAAAAGACUCAAAAAUGAUUUAAUACACUUCUAAGUAAGAAAAAUGUAUCAUCACUUACGGACAGAGGUUGGGUUGUUCCAGCGUUCAAAAAUUAGGCAGCUCAGUAACAAAAGCUUUAGGACUUCCCUGGUGCCCCAGUGCCUAAGACUCCCUGCUCCCAAAGCUCGGGACUCAGGUUCGAUCCCUGAUCAGGGAACUGGAUCCCACAAGCAGCAUCUAAGGAUUCCUUGUGCUGCAACUAAGACCUGAUGCAAUAAAAAGUAAAAGAGAAAUAAAAAGCUUUGCUUUCUUUCAGUUCUGCCACCUCAGAUCAGCUCUCCUCAUGGUCACAAGAUGGCUGCCACAGAUCCCAGUAUCACCUGUAGAGUGACUCCAUGGAACGGGGAAAAAGGGCUGGUUCUACCCAUGCAACCUAUCAGCAGGAGCAUAUAACAGUCCCCCACAAAACUUAUCAU